GUUAUUUACCAGGGAACGAAUAACAAAAAACAUCAUUCCGCCCUUUCCCUCCACAUUUACCAAAUUGAUUUUUGAGCUGCUCGCAGUCAGAUUGCAAUAAAUAUACUUGAAAUCCCCUGCACGUAAUGGUUGAUAAAUCCUGGAUCAUAAUUCUGCUUGGGUUUGGUUUGCUGGAUGCUGCUGGGCCAUGUUUUCCUUUCUCCAGCCCUUCAUCCCGCACAACUCUCUGGUGGAGGAAUAAAUUGGGAAUAAUGGAAGCUCCGCUGACUAAAUUUCACUUGUCAGUCAGAAAAUUUCGUGCUGGGCGUGAAGUUCUUGCAAAUAGCACAAGUGCCGCCAGAGCCCCAUCCCGUCACGCUCAGACAAAAUCCUCAGAAAUCCCACCUUAAAAACCACACUGGAAACACCAGGAGGAAAGUAUCAAGACAAGCAGUCCUUGGGAAUGUAUGGAAUUGACACAGAAGUCAUGGAGCAACUGAGCAGUGACAGGACUGGAAAGUCUCACGUAUUCCAUGACUGCAGGUUACUGGCAGGGAAUUGAAGAUGCACUUGGCAAAGGAAAUGGAUUUUGCCAACAACUGGAAGUUCUCAGUGCCCUCGUGCCAUGGAAGUUCUGCAUCCUGUUCUGCCUGGAAGUGCCAGCCAUGAGGCAGCGCUGGGGUUUUUACUGGAA
rnacentral:lncRNA from 1 species